CAGGAGCAACACAACCGGCAGUUGCAGGAGCAGUGGGAGGAGCUGUCAAGUCAGGUACAGUCAGGAGGCGGCCUUGGUCUCUAGCUUCCCCUAGGAAGUCCCGUUGUAGUCCUCGCCCCGGUUUUUACCCUGUCCCGGCCUUUAAGGACAUCCCCUACCCCUUGAAGCCCCGCAAACCCCGUCCUCACAAGACCCAUCCCUAGCUCUUCUACUACGGAGGGGAACAACUGAGUCAACAGCGCGCAGAACAGCAACUCGGGACCCAACUGAUGGCUUUGCAGGUGUUUGGGUGGGGCCCCCAAUGCCGGAGCGGCGGUGCGAGCAGCUCCCUGAGGGGCGGGGGUGGGCCAAGCGGACGCGUGGGUGGGGUUCCGGGAGUGCUGGGCUCCUGACAUUCCUUGGAUCCGUCGGAAGAAACAACUGGAGGUGGUGGAGGCCAAGCACGCCAAGCAGGCCGAGGGCCUGCGGCAGGUGCGAGCGAAGCUGGGGUUUGAGGGAGAGUGUCGGUUUCGAGUGUGGGUGGAGCCUGGGCAGGUGCAGGAUGGAGAGGGGUUAUUAUCCCAAGUCUCAUCAGGGCCCCCCACAUCCCAGGGCGUGCAGCGGACGGAGGAGGCUUGGGCCAGCUUUCAGGAGCAGAGCGGAGUCCUGCAGGUACGACCCCCCUCAGUCCCAAGAGCAGCUCACCUCCGACUCCACUGUGGCUCCCACUCCUCCACCCCCAGAGCUGCUCCUCUCUCUCCCCGCCCCACCCCACCCCCAGAUCUCCUCUGCGAGUCCUGGGGCCUUACUCCCUCCCCGUCCAGGAGCUGCAGGGAAAGGUGAUGGAGGCGGCGGCUACGCUGGACGCCUCGAGGGGCGGCCGGGAACUGUAAGGGGUUCAGGACUGUGGGGGUAAGGUGGGGUGGCUGUGGAACCGAGGCAGAUCGUCCACCUCGAUGCCCUUCCCGGCAGGUGCGACUCCCAGCCUCGACGGAUGCAGGACUGCGCGGGCUCGCUCAUGGAAGAGGUGGCCAAAGCUGACUGUGUGAGCGCGGGCCCUGGGCGGGGCGCGCUGGAGUCGGGACCCAACACAUGGGAGAUACCCACACCCACGGGGUCCCACCUGCCCUCGAGGGCCCGCCCCCCGACGGAAUCGCAACCCCCGUACCCGCCCUGCGGGAGACUGGUCCCCUACGAUUCCCUCCCGCUCCUUGAGAGACCCGGACCUCGCGGCGCCCUCCGCUCCGGCGCUGAGCUGGACGCUGCUCCGUCUUUCCGUAGGAGAGGCGGCUUUUCGGCGGCACCUGCGGAGCGGGCCUCAGGUGAGCCAGUGGCAGGCGGCGGGCGCGCUGGGCGUCUUGCCCGCCACUGCCCGUCUAUCCGUCCGUCCUUGGGUCCGCAGGCUGUGGGGUCUGGGCGCGCUGCAGACGCUGCUGUUGCUCCCGCUUGGUUUCCUGGCGCUGCCUAUGCUCUGCCUGAUGCUGGUGAACCCCUCCGCCCUCCGCGGGGGGCUCCCGCGCUUCGACUUGGACGCAGCCUUCCGCGGUUUGCGCUACACUCUGUCCCCGCUGCUCCAACUGCGCGCGCGCGGCCUGCUGCCCGCCUAACGCGCAUCAUGCCG
rnacentral:lncRNA from 1 species